CACACUAUCAUUAACUGAAUCCAUAGGUUAAUGAGGCGAACCGGGGGAACUGAAACAUCUAAGUACCCCGAGGAAAAGAAAUCAACCGAGAUUCCCCCAGUAGCGGCGAGCGAACGGGGAGCAGCCCAGAGCCUGAAUCAGUGUGUGUGUUAGUGGAAGCGUCUGGAAAGGCGCGCGAUACAGGGUGACAGCCCCGUACACAAAAAUGCACAUACUGUGAGCUCGAUGAGUAGGGCGGGACACGUGGUA
rnacentral:rRNA from 2 species